AAGGCCGUGGUGCGCGGCGAGCGUGGCGCGCAGCAGGUGCGCAACAACCUGGGCGUGUUCGAUGCUGGCCGGCUAUGC
rnacentral:tRNA from 1 species